rnacentral:rRNA from 1 species
GACGAACCGAGCGAACGUUGUUCGGAAUCACUGGGCUUAAAGGGCGCGUAGGCGGGCUGUCAAGUCUGGGGUGAAAUCCCGCGGCUCAACCGCGGAACUGCCUCGGAUACUGACGGUCUCGAGGGGGGUAGGGGCGGGCGGAACUAAUGGUGGAGCGGUGAAAUGCGUUGAUAUCAUUAGGAACUCCGGUGGCGAAGGCGGCCCGCUGGACCUCUACUGACGCUGAGGCGCGAAAGCCAGGGGAGCAAACGGG